rnacentral:pre_miRNA from 1 species
AGUGAGAUAGCUGGGUCAAAUGGUGGCUCCAUUACAAGGUUUCUGAGGAAUCUCCAUAUUGCUUUCCAGAGUGAUUGCACCAACUUGCAGUCCCACAAGCAAU